AAUCAUCAACUCCCUUUGCUUUUUGGCGAAGGUGAGCUUGGAUUUGGGGAUUUUGCUGGCCUUUACGGGUUCUGGCUUCCCUUGAAUGCAUUAGCUAGUAAUUGAUUUGCAGCAUAUAUGCGGUGUGAUAAUGUCUUCACUGUGUAGCUCAAGUCGACUGGCUUCUAAUCGUCCUUCGCGGGACAACAUUUUGAUC
rnacentral:misc_RNA from 1 species